UGGGGAAUAUUGCACAAUGGGCGAAAGCCUGAUGCAGCGACGCCGCGUGAACGAAGAAGUAUUUCGGUAUGUAAAGUUCUAUCAGCAGGGAAGAAGAAAUGACGGUACCUGACUAAGAAGCUCCGGCUAAAUACGUGCCAGCAGCCGCGGUAAUACGUAUGGAGCAAGCGUUAUCCGGAUUUACUGGGUGUAAAGGGAGCGUAGGCGGUCUUAUAAGUCUGAUGUGAAAGCCCGGGGCUCAACCCCGGGACUGCAUUGGAAACUGUAGGACUAGAGUGUCGGAGGGGUAAGUGGAAUUCCUAGUGUAGCGGUGAAAUGCGUAGAUAUUAGGAGGAACACCAGUGGCGAAGGCGGCUUACUGGACGAUUACUGACGCUGAGGCUCGAAAGCGUGGGGAGCAAACAGG
rnacentral:rRNA from 1 species